rnacentral:lncRNA from 1 species
UGGUGGUUUAAUUAAGGAGUCCAUCGGGUUUUUAUAGAACUUGGAGAGCACUGACUCGUUAUCCUUCCACUGCACAGAGCGAGAGCUAUUCGUUGCUCUAUGAAACCAGCCUUACGCAGCCCACCCCACUCUAAGAGCCAAGCAGUCCAUACUUUCAUUUGAACCACGUGACUCAACUCCGUGCUUGGACAGGGCAAGCCAUACUAAUGGCAACCAAAGUCCAGCCAUCUGGAAUAGCCUAACAUCCCACCACAUUGUUGCUCCCACUUAGGUUACAAGCCCACGUUACAAGGCUCGGCGCUUAGAUGGUUAUGUCAUCAUUAUAUGUACUAACAAAAGUCAUUGUUCACUACCAAUGUGGGAACAAAAUAUGUAAUAACCAACUCUACCUUUAUUUAUUUAUGUAAGUACCUUUGAAAGUUAAUUAAAAUUGAAUCUAGUCAGAUUUUAUGAUAUAUUUUAUUGAACAUUUAGAUAUAUUUACUUGUAGAAAGUGCUGUAAAAAUUUCAAUUGAAUUUGUCAUAAGUUUGCUACAUAAUCCAAGCUCUAUAUAGACCUUUCUUUAUUUACUAAUAAUUGGACAAAAGUACUCCAAAUUAAAAUACGAAACAAUAUUAAAUUUGAAGGAUUAACAAGUGAAACUCAACAAUUAUCCACGUGAAUGGGGAAUGACUAUAUUAUGAAUGUAUACAUGAAAAAUAUGUGUGAUAAUAAGGAUUAAUCGUAUUUGAUAAAACUAUAUUUUUCCUUUAAAUUUCUUCGUAGUGAACAUGCAUCAGGUACACUUGGUUAGUCAGUAGCUUUGACAUUCUUCAACCGUCAAACUUUGAUGUAUACCUAGAUAACAUAUGCCACACAAUUAACAUUUAACUGUUCUUGAUUCUCAUAUUUUUGUGUUCGUUUCAGUCAUGAACAACACAUGAUUUCAUGCGUGUGUAGAAUUGGCCUUCACUUAUUCUCCUUUAAGUGGCUUACACUUCACACUCACAUAAUUAAUUUUAAAAUGUGUGAGCCGUAGAUACAUUGUUUGAUCAUGUCAUGUCAAAUAUAUAAAUCAUUAAAAAAAAUGUUUCCUCGUUUCCUAAACAUUGUCGUAUAUUGUGAAUGGAUUAAAUUUAAUAACAACGUUGAAUUGACAUUCAUAACGUUGUUAGAUAUCUUUGAAGCUAAAUUUUGGAAUCUCCAUGUAGGUAAAGUUAUCAUUAUGAUGACUUAUUCUUGGACAUAACCCCUUCUAUAAUUAGGUCUUUGGUAAGUGAUACUUACACAUUAUUCUGACUUUACGUAGUUCAUUAAUGUGAUAAUUUCACUAGAGUAAUUGUCUAACAAUACUAUAUCUUCAACUCUUCAUCAUAUGUGACGAGAUUCUACUCUAUGCAUAAUAUUUUCAGCCCUUCUUAUUUCAUCUUGACUAUCAUAAUUAUAUAUAUAUUAGCCAAAAUAAAGGUGCAAACAUGCGUGUUCACAAAAGAAAAUACAUUUUAUUUUUAAAAAUUCUGCAAAUUUUAAAUAAAUCACGUGAACGGGUGGAAAGAAAUAUUUGUGAAUUUUUUAUUAAAUUCCACGUAAAUUAAUAUCAGAAAAAAUAUAUCAAUAAAUCAGAAGUACUUCUAUAUGUAUAUAAGCAUGAAAAUUUUCAAUCCGCCUCCUCUCCAUUUCUCCUCUUUUCAUUUUCUUCAAGUUCUAGCUUGGAUUGGAGAUACAUGUCAUAGUUUAGAAUUAACGGUUGAGAUGUAAUUGAUUAAAUCAAAGUCCUAACUAUAGUUAUUUACUUCCAUAUGUUUAUUUCUUAAAUAUUUUUGCAAUCCAUUAUAUUUUGUCUAGAUAUAUUAAAAGUUCGAUCUGCGUACAUUGGAACACACCGUAACUAGAAAAAAGUUAAAAAUUAGAAAUAGUCAUUUUUUGAAGGAAUAUAAAAAUCUGGAAAUUUGUUAAGUGUGUUAAAGUUGAGUUAUUUGGUCAACUUCAAACGACCAUAACUCCUAGACCGGGAUGAGUUAGGUGUGUUUCCAGAUACCGUAGGAAAGAUCUUGGAAAAAUCCUUCCAACGCCGCCGAGUUUGCGCGAUUCCAAGUUCAUUGAGUGAGAUAUGCCAAUUGGAAGUUGGGUUGUUCAAAUAAGGAAAUAUUCAAUCCGGAUUUUAAAGGGUGUUUUGGCCUUUUCCUUACCUAAUUAUUUUAUUUAGUUUUUGUUUAAUUAAUUGGGGUCAAAUCAUAUUAUUCAGUUUUAGAAAAGUUGAAGUUUCACGCUAGGGCUUGGAGAAAAGAGAAAAGAGGAGAAAGGAAAAGAAAGUUCAAGAUUAGACGUCUUCGUAAGGAAUCGCUUGUGAAUUUCGUCAAGGGUGAUCCCUAUGAGGUAAAUGAGAUCACACAGCGUUGGAUCCAUUCGCCCACGCGCCAAACUUGUUAUAGUUCAGUGAUAGUACUCGUCCUAAAAGAGUUAGAAUUUAAUGUUCUUGAGUUCUGUUCUUAAGUUAUUUUCAUUCUUGAAUUCACAUGUGAUUGAUGGGUUUGAUUGAGACAUUUAAGCAAUGUUAAGAAUUGUUUUUAGUUAGAUUUUAGUGUACAUGCUUUGGGUAUCUGAAUCUAAGAAAGUAUUAAGAAAAGGAAUCGAUUUAAUGCAAUUUAGGAUCAUAAAACAAGUUGAAAAUUCGUUAGACGCACCUGGAGAGGGCCAGGCGCCUCGCGCCCCCAUAGCGCCAGGGAGGCUUGGGGCGGCACGCUUGCAAUGCACCCAAAAUGAACCCCAGAAAGUUGGGGCGCCAAUCACACGUCGGGAUCGUCAUUUUUCGCCAUUUUUUUUGUCGUAUAGCCUAUUUAAGUCCUUCUAAAGUGUACUAAUACUUUCCAUUGAUUCUAAUACUCUAAGUGACUUCUAGAAAUCAUCCAAAAACAUGAAUCAUAACCUUGAAUUCAUAAAUUCAAAUUCAAGGAAAGUUAAGAGUCAAGUCUAAGAAGUUCUUAGUGUCUUUUAAGAAGUCUUUUGCAAAUGCUUUGAACUUUAUUUUAGGACUUAAAGUUCAAGUUGGGUAAAGAUACUUAAAGUUCAAGUUGGGUAAAGAAUAAAUAGUGAAGUUUGAAGUUCAUUUCUUCAAAGAAGUAUAUGAGGAUUAUAUACUCCCAAAGAGUUUAAAAUGUUUUCACAUUUUAAAUAAGAAUGAAAACUGAGAUUUCCAAAUAGUCUUUGAGCUAGUAUUCAGAAAAGAGUAAAAGCUUUCCCUAUUAAGCAAGAGAGGAAAUAUUGAUUUCCAAUAUAGUCAUUCAACUAAGUUUUUGAGUAAUUAUCUCAAAUCAAAGAAAGAACUAUGUUUUUAAAACGUAAGAGUUAGUCAUAUUUUGAAAAUAGUAUUGAGCAGUGAUAUGAGAGAGAGUUCAGACAAUUCACAAUUUCCAUAAACCAUUUAGCUGUCAUGGAUAGAAAAGGGUCAAUGACCAAUCAAGUAGAAAGUCUUUAGGUGAUUACAUUUGGUUGCAAGAAAAAUGUUUUGAGCAAAAAAUAUAUUUGGGAAAAAAGUUUUAAAAAAUAAUUAGUUUUUAUGCUAUUUUGUUAUGUUUGAUAAGCAGAAAUAUUGUUCUAGAAAAGUUCGGGUAUAAUCUAAGAUAAAUAUUAUUAGACUUGAAGGUGAGGGUAGGAUUUGGGGUUCGUGGGAAUGGACGCUAUGGGGUGGAGUAUGUGUUCAAGGGUCGGGAGGAGACAAAUGGCGUAGGAUGUCCUUUAUGAAAUUUGUUUUUUCUACUUUUUACUUGAAAAGUCAUUUUCUUUUUUAAUUUUUAUGAAAACUUAUUUUCCAAAAGAAAAUAUUUUCCCAAAUUUUAACCAACCAAAUAUUGAAAAAUUGAACAACAUUUGCCGGAGAUUAUUUUCCUCCAUACCAAAUACAUCCUUAUGGAGUGAUCAAACGACCCUUAUUUAGCCAAUACAUUCAGUGACACAUAGUGUGAUAUACGUUAGUGUGAAUAUGUAACUCCUUAUUAUUUCCUUCGGAAUCGAAGGAUUGGGACUAACAACUAACACCAAAACACUCAUCCACAUGCUUAAGGGCUAAAUUAAAUCUUAUUCCUUUUAUGAUUUUAUAUGGUUACAAUCUCAACCAACGUAGAGUAUAGUAAAAAUGUAUUUUUUUUUAAUUAAAUUGCUUGAAAAGCAAUCGAUGCAACUCUCCUGUUGAAGUUCUUUGAAUAUGAGAGGCUUCUCUCAGUAUGGAUUCAUGUUAAAACUUGUGUUAGUAGUAGUAAAACCAUGUUUAUUUGCUAAUAUUUAAUGUUAUGAGUUGCAUCGAUUGCUUUUCAAGCAAUUUAAUUAAAAAAAAAUACAUUUUUACUAUACUCUACGUUGGUUGAGAUUGUAACCAUAUAAAAUCAUAAAAGGAAUAACAUUAAAUAUUAGCAAAUAAACAUGGUUUUACUACUACUAACACAAGUUUUAACAUGAAUCCAUAGUGAGAGAAGCCUCUCAUAUUCAAAGAACUUCAACAGGAGACUAUUUCAUACACUUUUAUCUCACAUUUAGGUAAACUUGGACCAAGCACCAAUUAUAGAAAAGAAAAAAGUGGUGGUUUAAUUAGGUAGUCCAUCAGGUUUUUGUUGAACUUGGAAAGCACUGACUCGUUAUCCUUCCACUGCACAGACUGGGAGUUAUUCGUUGCUCUGUGAAACCAGCCUCACGCAGUCCACCCCACUCUAAGAGCCAAGCAGCCCAUACUUUCGUUUGGACCACGUGACUCAACUCCGUGCUUGGAUAGGGCAAGCCAGACUAAUGCCAACCAAAGUCCAGCCAUCUGGAACAGCCUAACAUCCCACUACAUUGUUGCCCCAACUUAGGUUACAAGCCCACGUUACAAGGCUCGGCAUUUA